rnacentral:rRNA from 1 species
CCUACGGGAGGCAGCAGUGGGGAAUUUUGGACAAUGGGCGCAAGCCUGAUCCAGCAAUGCCGCGUGAGUGAAGAAGGCCUUCGGGUUGUAAAGCUCUUUUGUCAGGGAAGAAAAGGCUACGGAUAAUACCUGUGGCUCAUGACGGUACCUGAAGAAUAAGCACCGGCUAACUACGUGCCAGCAGCCGCGGUAAUACGUAGGGUGCAAGCGUUAAUCGGAAUUACUGGGCGUAAAGCGUGCGCAGGCGGUUUUGUAAGACUGUCGUGAAAUCCCCGGGCUCAACCUGGGAAUGGCGAUGGUGACUGCAAGGCUAGAGUUUGGCAGAGGGGGGUAGAAUUCCACGUGUAGCAGUGAAAUGCGUAGAUAUGUGGAGGAACACCGAUGGCGAAGGCAGCCCCCUGGGUCAAAACUGACGCUCAUGCACGAAAGCGUGGGGAGCAAACAGGAUUAGAUACCCUGGUAGUCCACGCCCUAAACGAUGUCUACUAGUUGUCGGGUCUUAAUUGACUUGGUAACGCAGCUAACGCGUGAAGUAGACCGCCUGGGGAGUACGGUCGCAAGAUUAAAACUCAAAUUGAAUUGACCGGNNGAGAGNGCGAGACGACGACGAGGAGGAGG